UACGUAGGGUGCAAGCGUUGUCCGGAAUUAUUGGGCGUAAAGAGCUCGUAGGCGGCUUGUCACGUCGACUGUGAAAACCCGGGGCUCAACUCCGGGCCUGCAGUCGAUACGGGCUGGCUUGAGUGCGGUAGGGGAGACUGGAAUUCCUGGUGUAGCGGUGAAAUGCGCAGAUAUCAGGAGGAACACCGGUGGCGAAGGCGACUACCUGGCCUGUUCUUGACGCUGAGGCGCGAAAGCUAGGGGAGCAAACGGG
rnacentral:rRNA from 1 species